rnacentral:rRNA from 1 species
GAUGAACGCUGGCGGUAUGCUUAACACAUGCAAGUCGAACGGACUCUUCGGAGUUAGUGGCGGACGGGUGAGUAACGCGUGAGAAUCUGGCUUUGGGUUCGGGACAACCACUGGAAACGGUGGCUAAUACCGGAUGUGCCGAGAGGUAAAAGAGAAAUUGCCUGAAGAUGAGCUCGCGUCUGAUUAGCUAGUUGGUGAGGUAAAGGCUCACCAAGGCAGCGAUCAGUAGCUGGUCUGAGAGGAUGACCAGCCACACUGGGACUGAGACACGGCCCAGACUCCUACGGGAGGCAGCAGUGGGGAAUUUUCCGCAAUGGGCGAAAGCCCGACGGAGCAAUACCGCGUGAGGGAAGAAGGCUCUUGGGUUGUAAACCUCUUUUCUUAGGGAAGAACAAAAUGACGGUACCUAAGGAAUCAGCAUCGGCUAACUCCGUG